UGCCCAGCAACUCUUAUCCCUACCUCCUCGUGGUACUGGCCGGGGCACGAAUAACCUUAGGGAAGAUCUGGUAACCAACCCCGGUGGAAACUUUGGUUGUAUGCAGACAGGGAAGG
rnacentral:ribozyme from 1 species